AUUUAAAUAGUCAUUCAAUAUAAACACCGGAUAGAACACCGAAUAUCCUGAGAAACACACCGAAUAUCCCAAGAAACAGUAUUUCCGGCAAUCUCCAAUACCGAUGACACGGUGUGACAUGCAUUGGUUGGAAUUCGUUUUCAAAUUUUUGAUUGACCAGAUACAACCAUUUUGGUAUUACAGUUGAAAUCAUUAUAGAAAAGCAGCAACAAGAACUUUAAAAAAUGUUUGUUAUUAGAGACAAAAGAACAGAGAAACUCCAAAGAAACUGAACUUCUUACUCAUGGUUUUAAAUUGCAAUAUAUGUUAAACAUUGUAUAAAAUCCAAGACAUUAUAACAAUGUAGAUUUGGAAAGCUACAAUUUCUCUACAAUUUUUCUACAAAAUAAUGCAAUUCAGAGAGAUAUGAAAUUUUUGCAUUUUCGAUUGCCAUCAUAUCAAUUUUACUUCGUUAGCCAGACAAGUACUAUUUUGAUAAUAAAUUUGCUUCUAAAUUU